rnacentral:rRNA from 1 species
UACGGAGGGGGCAAGUGUUCUUCGCAUUGACUGGGCUUAAAGGGCAUGUAGGUGGCCAUUUUAACGAAAUAUGACGUUAAAAAACUUCCGCGUAACGGGAGAUACGUUAAUUUUGAAUAAUUAGCUAGGGUUAUGCUCAAGUUUACAGAAUUCCUAAUGGAGGGGUAGAAUCCAUUGAGAUUAGGAGGAAUGCCAUCUGGUGAAAGCGGUACUCUAGAGUUAACUGACACUGAGGUGCGAAAGCAUGGGGAUCAAAUAGG